UACGAAGGGGGCUAGCGUUGCUCGGAAUCACUGGGCGUAAAGCGCACGUAGGCGGCUUGUUAAGUCAGGGGUGAAAUCCUGGAGCUCAACUCCAGAACUGCCUUUGAUACUGGCGAGCUUGAGUUCGGGAGAGGUGAGUGGAACUGCGAGUGUAGAGGUGAAAUUCGUAGAUAUUCGCAAGAACACCAGUGGCGAAGGCGGCUCACUGGCCCGGUACUGACGCUGAGAUACGAAAGCGUGGGGAGCAAACAGG
rnacentral:rRNA from 1 species